rnacentral:rRNA from 1 species
ACGAACGCUGGCGGCAUGCCUAACACAUGCAAGUCGAACGAGACCUUCGGGUCUAGUGGCGCACGGGUGCGUUACGCGUGGGAACCUGCCCUUAGGUUCGGAAUAACUCCCCGAAAGGGGUGCUAAUACCGGAUAAUGUCUUCGGACCAAAGAUUUAUCGCCUUUGGAUGGGCCCGCGUUGGAUUAGCUAGUUGGUAGGGUAAAAGCCUACCAAGGCGACGAUCCAUAGCUGGUCUGAGAGGAUGAUCAGCCACACUGGGACUGAGACACGGCCCAGACUCCUACGGGAGGCAGCAGUGGGGAAUAUUGGACAAUGGGCGAAAGCCUGAUCCAGCAAUGCCGCGUGAGUGAUGAAGGCCUUAGGGUUGUAAAGCUCUUUUACCCGGGAUGAUAAUGACAGUACCGGGAGAAUAAGCUCCGGCUAACUCCGUG